rnacentral:rRNA from 1 species
UACGUAGGGGGCAAGCGUUGUCCGGAUUUAUUGGGCGUAAAGAGCGUGUAGGCGGCCUGUCAGGUCUGCUGUGAAAACUCGAGGCUCAACCUCGAGAUGUCGGCGGAAACCGUCUGGCUAGAGUCCGGAAGAGGAGAGUGGAAUUCCUGGUGUAGCGGUGAAAUGCGCAGAUAUCAGGAAGAACACCCGUGGCGAAGGCGGCUCUCUGGGACGGUACUGACGCUGAGACGCGAAAGCGUGGGGAGCGAACAGG